rnacentral:lncRNA from 1 species
CAUUUACACUCGAUAAGCUCAGAUUUCGACACAAAACCAGGCACAUACAUCUUUGAUCUCCCUAAACAUCUUUAAUGACUCGAGAAAAACCCAUUUUGCAUAUAGCAAUUAACACGGNAUCUUAUGAAGUUGGAGCCUAAACUUAGAAGCUUCUGGUGAAAACUUAGGUGUGAGUUGAUAGUUUUUGUGGAAGUUUCAAUUCUUGCAUGAGACGCUGCUACCUAUACCAGAAUUGUUACAUAAAUUAGUAAUUUCGGUAAACGAUAUGGAAUUCUAAAUUGAUGGAAUAUUGCAUCACGUAUAGAGCUUGUUUGGGAGUGAUUUUGAGAAUUGAUUUUCUGACCGUUAUGAAAAAAGUGAGAUCCACCUGUGAGAGAAAAAGUCAUAUAUGACGGCUGGAAUAAUGAAAUAACGGUCAAAAAAUCAAUUUUUGGGGCCAAAAAAUUGCUCCCAAACAGUCUUAUAGUAAUUCUUUCCAUACUUGAAUUACGGAUUUGGGUCUCAGUUUCUUUGAAUUUACCUCAUUUUUUUAUUUUUUUUUCUGUGGAAUGACGGAAACAGAAAUAGAACCUGAUUUUACAGACUUGAAAGUAUUGGCAUAGAAUUUUUAGGAAAACACUCCUCAUUCAGGGCCACAAGGGCCCUGAAUUUCAAGGGUGCCGAUUUGGCGCUGCCUAUUGGAGAAGGGGGGGGGGGGUGGCUGUCCACACCCUUGGCUCUGAAUUUCUAGCGGGGCUCGAAUUUUUGUUGGACAAGGUUUUACCGAACGAAAAGUUUUUUUGUUUUAUCUAUUUAUUUAAGGGAGAAUUGCAGCUGGAUCCUAAACCUUUUAAAUCUUUUAAAAAUUAUACAUAAACCUUCAUUUUUGCAGAUGAGGUCCCAAACCAUUUACACUCGAUAAGCUCAGAUUUCGACACAAAACCAGGCAUAUACAUCUCUGAUCUCCCUAAACAUCUUUAAUGACUCGAGAAAAACCCAUUUUGCAUAUAGCAAUUAACACGGCAUUCCAGGAAAUGGUAUCUCUAUGAGGCAUAGAAUCGAACAGCUUGUACGCGCUCUUCGUGUCCGAAAACUUUGAAUACAUGGAGAUGAGGGAAUUUGAGACGGUGGAUUCAGAAUCAAACCCAUCUAUGACAACGUUGCAGUGUAUUUGAAGUCCCAAAAUUUGGUGGGUUUGAGAAUGAGCACAGGCUAUGAUGAUUGACGGAAGAAUAAAGGUACUUGCAGACUUGCAGUUGCAGGGAAAGGGUGGACUUGUUCUUUGUACACUGCAAGGGCUUGGCCAUGGAAACCUUUUGCUACCAAAUGUUGAACUUUUGCGUUGGCCUCAAGAAUUGAUGAUGUCGCGCUUGCAGCUGAUAAGUUGUAUCAAUUGAUGUAUUCAGUGGCGGCGACCGCAAUGGUUGAGGCGGAUGGAUCUAAGUUUUGGUUGAGUUUUUGGUACCUUUUCCGAUGGCAAAAAAAAAAGGGGUUGGCAGGGCGGGGCGCCCUGACUUGGG